rnacentral:rRNA from 1 species
AGAGGUUUUGUAUCCUCGGCGUCAGAACGAACGCUGGCGGCAUGCCUAACACAUGCAAGUCGAACGAAGGCUUCGGCCUUAGUGGCGCACGGGUGCGUAACGCGUGGGAAGUCUGCCCUUAGGUUCGGAAUAACAGCUGGAAACGGACUGCUAAUACCGGAUGAUGACGAAAGUCCAAAGAUUUAUUGCCUGAGGAUGAGCCCGCGUUGGAUUAGGUAGUUGGUGGGGUAAAGGGACCGUACCAAGCCGACGAUCCAUAGCUGGUCUGAGAGGAUGAUCAGCCACACUGGGACGUCGAGACACGGCCCAGACUCCUACGGGAGGCAGCAGUGGGGAAUAUUGGACAAUGGGCGAAAGCCUGAUCCAGCAAUGCCGCGUGAGUGAUGAAGGCCCUAGGGUUGUAAAGCUCUUUUACCCGGGAAGAUAAUGACUGUACCGGGAGAAUAAGCCCCGGCUAACUCCGUG